UCGUCUCGCGGAGUUGGCCACCCUUCGCCGCGUACUGUUAAUCCGUGGGUCGCUGGUUCGAACCCAGCUCGGGGAGCCA
rnacentral:tRNA from 1 species